AUACAGAGGUGGCAAGCGUUGUUCGGAAUUACUGGGCGUAAAGUGCGCGUAGGCGGCUUGGUAAGUCCCUUUUGAAAGCUCCCGGCUUAACUGGGAGAGGUGAGGGGAUACUACCUGGCUUGAGGACAGCAGAGGAAAGCGGAAUUCUCGGUGUAGCGGUGAAAUGCGUAGAUAGCGAGAGGAACACCAGUGGCGAAGGCGGCUUUCUGGGCUGCACCUGACGCUGAGGCGCGAGAGCGUGGGGAGCAAACAGGAUUAGAAACCCCGGUAGUCC
rnacentral:rRNA from 1 species